UGGCCGAGUGGUCUAAGGCGCCAGACUCAAGUUCUGGUCUUCGACAGAGGGCGUGGGUUCAAAUCCCAC
rnacentral:tRNA from 1 species